GCCGAAGUGGCGGAACUGGUAGACGCGCCGGACUCAAAAUCCGGUGGGGGCAACCUCGUGUGGGUUCGAGUCCCACCUUCGGCA
rnacentral:tRNA from 1 species